GCUGGUUUUCCACCAUAGGAGGAAUACAGUAUAUUAGAGGCAUACUGAUAUAAUUUUACUGCUCACUAUUGAAUAACAUAACUGCAU
rnacentral:sRNA from 2 species